UUUGUAUCCAGAAAUUCUAGUCAGUGUUGCAAGAGAUUGAAGUAAGCUGCUUUUUGUGCCAUUUAUAGAUCAGAGGAGGCUGUCUGCAGAAGGAUAAAGGAGGUAGAUGCUCAAAAAGAUGCCAAGUAAAGGACCCGGUAGUGGAUGUACUACUGGAAUGAAGAGCCAGAGUAGGAGACCCAGAGAGACUGACAGGUCCUUCACUGCUGCAUCUUGCAUUUCCUUCCAUAAGCUACAAUUGUAUGCUACUAACGAUCGUUGAUUUCUGUGUUUUAAUCUGGUUUGUGUGAGUUUGUUACUCAGUAAAAUGCUUUUCAAGAGAAAACUGACAAGUGGACAGCUUCCUGCCAUCAUGCUGCACCAACAUAAGACUGACCACAAAGCACAUGGACACAUGUGACACAACAGCCAUCAGGAAAAGGAAAAUUAAGUCCACAGACAGAACUUUGCACACAACAUGAUGGCAAAAAUGAAAAAAAAAAAUCAGUUCAAUUUGCUGCGGACUAGAGAAGAAUACUGGAACUGCUCCUCUCUACAUGCCUGGGAGCAAGCCACCGAUCAGCGGAAGUUUACCAAGCAGAAAGACGUGGAGCAGAGCAAUGAUUCCAUGAACACUCAUGCAUAAGGCUAUAACAAAAACCUGAGCUUUGUAUUAUGCUUUUCAUUUUAAACUCUGUUUUGAAAUUUUCAUUCUCUUUUCUUUCCACUUCAGUAGUAAAAUUUUCUGUUAAUCUAUUCUCUUGGUUGCUAAUCCGUUCUUCUGGGGAUUUUAAUCUGAUAUUAAAGCCCAUAUUGAGCUCUUCAUUACAACUGUUUAUUUUUUAUUUCCAUGAUUCUCAUUUUUCUUUUAAAGCAAAUUCUAAUUCUCUGGUGAAAUUAUCCUAAUAAGUACUUUCUUAUACACGUUAGAAUUACUUCAAAGUUCAUGCAUGCCUGCUCAUUCUAAAAAUCAGUUCAUUCAUAUGCCUGUUUGUAAUAUAAACAUAUUCAAAUUACCCAGAAAAGGCAAUGGACUAUCAGUUGGCUGUGGCCAGGGAUGAGUAGAAGGAAUGAAUUAUAAAGAGUCUUGUAGUAACAAUUUAAGAGGCAGAAAACAUCCCACAUAUUUAUAUUGUUAGUGCUUAUGCAGUCAUAUGUAUUUUCCUGUUGUCAUGUAUAAUCAGUUAAUCUUUUGUUAUUAAUCUAAACUUAGAUACUGUGCAUGAAAUACAGAUAAGCUGUUCAUGAACCUACCAUGUGCCAGACUUUUUUCUAGACAUCUGAAGCAAUGAAUCCUUUCUAUUCUGAAAAAUUCUUCAGGUUUUCAAAUUUGCUCAUGCAUGGAAUGUUAUGCUCUCUGCCUCUGUGUAUUCACAUAGUAUACUUUUUUAAAAAGUUAAUUUAAAUGCCUCAGCCUUAGUGAAUUCUUUGUGUGCUUGGAAUUAGUUCAGUGUGCACUUACUUAUUAAUUUAUGUGUCUCUAUAAUAAUGUUGGUAUAAUUUGAUAUGCAUUAUUAAUAAUAUAUCUCAUCUGACGAGACAUCACACUCUUUAAGUAAAUGGAUUUUGUCUUACUAAACCCUACUAAGUCAUAUAUAUACUCCAGUGAAGUGACAGAAAAAACAGAAAAGUGUCUGCAUAUAAAUAAAUAAAAGUGUCUGCAUAAUAAUAAAUAGGUAUUUAUUAAAUGAUCACACAA